UUAAGUUCAGCGGGUAUUCCUACCUGAUCCGAGGUCAACAUUCAGAAGUUGGGGUUUUACGGCAUGGCCGCGCCGCGUUCCAGUUGCGAGGUGUUAGCUACUACGCAAUGGAGGCUGCAGCGAGACCGCCAAUGUAUUUCGGGGGCGGCACCGCCAGAAGGCAGAGCCGAUCCCCAACACCAAACCCGGGGGCUUGAGGG
rnacentral:misc_RNA from 1 species